rnacentral:other from 1 species
GUAUUCCUGCGAUGUUCGUUACGGCGGUUUAUUGUUUUGAACCAAUGUUUGUUUCACGGGAGUUCAACAUUGCCAGGCGGCUGACAUGCCCCCGAAAAGGGAAGUCAAAAACCACGGCUGCGGACACCCACCUGCGAGAGCGGGUUCAGAAACAUACUCGCCGAACGGCAUAGGCGGGUUUUUU